AGAUAGAGUUUAGUUAAAUUUCAAAUAUAACAGGGGUAUUUAUGAAAUAAAGUAAGUAAUUGACCAUUAAAUAUAAGAGGGGUAAAGUUGGAAUUUAAAUAUUAUUAACUUCAAUUUGGAUGGGCACUUAAUGGUAGGGUUAUUUUUGAAAGUUUUUUAAAUUUAGGAGGGUAUACAUGAUAUUUCAAUUUUUAUAUGGAUAUUUAUGAAAUUAGAUAAUUUUAGAAGGGUAUUGAGGAAAUUUUCCCUUUUUUUUUUCUCUCUCUCACUCUCUCUCUCUCUCUCUCACACACCAUACAUUCUUUUCUUUUUUUUUAUUUUUUUCUCUCAACAUUUUUUUUUUUGUUUUUGCCUACACCAUAUGUAAAAUUUUAUCGCACAAACUAGUCCUAUUUUUUAAUAGUAAAUAUAACAAAAUUAAAAUUUCAUUCAGGCCCUGUUUGGAUGCAUAGUUAAAAAACUCCAUAGAAUUUUUAUUCUAUGGUUUUGGUCUAAAUGAAAUACGGAAUCCUGUAACUACAAAAAAAUUCCAUAGCUUCAUUUUUAAGCUGUUUGGAUACAUAUCAUAUAAUUCCACAGUAUUUAUAAUAAUUAAAUUUCCAAAAUUUUAAAAUUCAAAAUUCAAAACUCAAAAUUCAAAAUUUAAAAUUCAAAAUUUAAAAAUAAAAUUUUAAAAAUUAAAAAUAAAAAUUCAAAAUAUAAAAUUAAAAUUUAAAAUUUAAAAUUUAAAAAGUAAAUUAGAUUUUAUGUUUUAA
rnacentral:lncRNA from 1 species